GGGGGUGAACGGUCUCGACGUUGGCCGUUUUCCCAGGAGAAGCGGGUAGAGGACGCACGGUCAUCUCUCGAACGAUCCGUGCAAACCAAUAGGUGCCGAUUCCAAGCGCACCGACUUCGCCCUCGCCGCCUGAGCGAGUCUCGAAGUCCGUCAGCCUGGUAGGCUUCCGGCUCAGGUCCUGGCGUCGACCAGGAAGCCACUGCUCCUGACGUCUGCCGCGGGCGUCAGGGGGACUCUUUCGCGGCUGGGCCCGUCAGCGACUCGUCUGCGUGAUCGCUGGGGCCGAGAAAAUCAUCAGCAGACUGCACCCGGAGAAGUCCUGGUUCUGCGACAGCGGACGCGGGUUCGAUUCCCGCCACCUCCAC
rnacentral:tmRNA from 1 species